CGAGCGGAUGACAGGAGCUUGCUCCUGAAUUCAGCGGCGGACGGGUGAGUAAUGCCUAGGAAUCUGCCUGGUAGUGGGGACAACGUUUCGAAGGAACGCUAAUACCGCAUACGUCCUACGGGAGAAAGCAGGGGACCUUCGGGCCUUGCGCUAUCAGAUGAGCCUAGGUCGGAUUAGCUAGUUGGUGAGGUAAUGGCUCACCAAGGCGACGAUCCGUAACUGGUCUGAGAGGAUGAUCAGUCACACUGGAACUGAGACACGGUCCAGACUCCUACGGGAGGCAGCAGUGGGGAAUAUUGGACAAUGGGCGAAAGCCUGAUCCAGCCAUGCCGCGUGUGUGAAGAAGGUCUUCGGAUUGUAAAGCACUUUAAGUUGGGAGGAAGGGCAGUAAAUUAAUACUUUGCUGUUUUGACGUUACCGACAGAAUAAGCACCGGCUAACUCUGUGCCAGCAGCCGCGGUAAUACAGAGGGUGCAAGCGUUAAUCGGAAUUACUGGGCGUAAAGCGCGCGUAGGUGGUUCGUUAAGUUGGAUGUGAAAUCCCCGGGCUCAACCUGGGAACUGCAUUCAAAACUGACGAGCUAGAGUAUGGUAGAGGGUGGUGGAAUUUCCU
rnacentral:rRNA from 1 species